rnacentral:lncRNA from 12 species
GUGAUACCUGUGCAUGAUCCGACCCAUACCUAACAAAAGGAUUCAGGACUCAGAAGGUCCUUGGAGAAGAUAAUGACACUGCAUUACCAAAAUGCAAGGAUAUAAAAAUAAAUUCAUUAAUACAGUGGUUCUGGAAUUUGCGUAUCAGCACUGAUACACCACCUGGUAUCAGCACUGUGGAGACACGGAGCCAAUCUGAGUUCACUACAAAGCAGUACAGAGAGUGACCCAAAGAAUCUCCUGACAACCAGGGAAUUUCAGAGGAUGAUGGAAGUUUCCCUAAGGAUGUCACUUCAAGCUAACAAUG